GUGCCAGCAGCCGCGGUAAUACGUAGGGUGCAAGCGUUAUCCGGAAUUAUUGGGCGUAAAGAGCUCGUAGGCGGUUUGUCGCGUCUGCUGUGAAAACUGGGGGCUCAACCCCCAGCCUGCAGUGGGUACGGGCAGACUAGAGUGCGGUAGGGGAGAUUGGAAUUCCUGGUGUAGCGGUGGAAUGCGCAGAUAUCAGGAGGAACACCAAUGGCGAAGGCAGAUCUCUGGGCCGUUACUGACGCUGAGGAGCGAAAGCAUGGGGAGCGAACAGGAUUAGAUACCCUGGUAGUCCAUGCCGUAAACGUUGGGAACUAGAUGUAGGGACCAUUCCACGGUUUCUGUGUCGCAGCUAACGCAUUAAGUUCCCCGCCUGGGGAGUACGGCCGCAAGGCUAAAACUCAAAGGAAUUGACGG
rnacentral:rRNA from 1 species